rnacentral:rRNA from 1 species
GGCCCCGGGUUCCGCCCGGGGCCACGCCCGUCCCAAGGUCGGSGU